AAAAAAUUAGUUAAACCAAUACCAUAACAUUAGUUUGUCAAACUAAAAUUAUUUUAAAAUUAAAAUAUUUUUUA
rnacentral:tRNA from 1 species